rnacentral:sRNA from 1 species
AGCCUAAACCAGUGGUCGCUGGCAUGGCAAAAAGUCCUUGGAAGAUAAAGAACCCAUCAUGGGGUCGUCUUCCAAGGCCAUAUCGGGAAACCGGUAUGAGAGACUUCGGUCUCU